CUUCUGAUAAUGGUUGUAAUUUUUUAAGAGCUAUAAAGCUCCUGCAACCUGAAACUGAUUAUGAUAUAAGGAGUGAAUCAGCAGAUGAGGAAAAUAUGGAUGUAAAUGUAUAUAAAUAUGAUAUUGAUGAUAUACAAAAUACUUUUUUAUCAACUAUUAUAUCCUAUCCGAUUUAUAGUGUACGGUGUGCAGCUCACACACUUCAGCUGGCACUUCAAGAUGCUAUAAAAUUAUCACCUAUUGUGGAAACCAUUGCAAAAGCUAGGAGCCUAAAUUUAAAAUUAAGACAUCCCACUUACCAAAAGUUAUUAAAAAAUAUGAAACUCCCUAAGCCUGUGUUAGAUUGCCACAGAUGGCAUUCAACCCAUGAUAUGUUAAAAAGGCUGAUUUUACUAAAACCCAAUAUCGAAGAUUUUUUUACAGAGCAAUCUGAUUAUUUAUUGACUGAAGAUUGGAAAGAGAUAAUAACGAUUGUUGAAAUUUUAAAACCGCUAAAAAUCGCAACCAAACAAUUCCAAUCUGAACAGUUAACACUGACAGAUUUUUAUGCAGCAUGGUUAAGAUGCUGCAUCGAACUGGAAAAAAAUCUAAACCAUUUUGCUCAAUUACUAUAUUCUUGUCUUAAGAACAGAGAAGAAAGGUUUAUAAAACGAAAUUCUCUUAGCUGCCAUAUACCUGGACCCAAGAUACAAGGUAUUACUUAGUGAUGAUGAUAAGAUUUGUGCGAAAAAACAUCUUGUCAAUUUAUGGAGACGAAUUAAAAGCUUAACAACGCCGAUUUUAUCUGAUGAUAUUAGUUCCGAUGAAGUUAUUGAACAAGAAGAUGAUUUAGAGAAAUUGAUACAACUUAAAGAAAGGCAGGAGAAAAUACUUAAAAGAGGGCCAACGAUUUAUUGGAACAAUAAUUACUGGAUUUAACGAUUAUAAAAGUUUAGAUAAGAAGGAAAAUAUUUUGCAUUUUUGGGAGUCUGCUAAGCUGGAACACCCUGAAUUAUAUAUUUUAUCUAAAAUCUUAUUUGCUGUUCCUGCAACCCAAGUUAGCGUUGAAAGAUCUUUUUCACAUUUGAAAUUCAUUCUUUCACCACAUAGAUCGAGGAUGAGUGAACAACUCUUGGAAGAUAUUAUGCUAAUACGUCUAAAUAAAAUUUUUAAAAUUGAUACAUGACUAUAUGCUUUGUAUUUUUAACUAUAUUUGCCUAUAAAUAAAAUAAAAAAUUUAUUUUUUAUAUCAAAUUUAUGUCUAGUUUUUUAUUAUGAUUUAAAUAUAGAAUUUUUUUUAUCAACUCAAAAAUUCUUGAACCCGAACCGAACCCGAACCAAACCCGGGUUCAAAAAUAUUUCCCUGAACCGAACCCGAACCGAACCCACCUUUUUUUUUAUACCCCGAACCGAACCCGGGCAAAAAUUUUGUCGGGUUCGCAUCCCUGAGUAAUUCAUUUUGAGGAAAUUUUUUUUUCCAAUUUAAGGUUCCAAACUUAAAGA